AGAGUGAUAGUUUAUUUCAAAACGCUAAGUUGCAAGCUUAAAAUUGGCGGCGGUCUCACUUUU
rnacentral:tRNA from 1 species